AACGAACGCUGGCGGCAUGCCUAACACAUGCAAGUCGAACGAGACCUUCGGGUCUAGUGGCGCACGGGUGCGUAACGCGUGGGAACCUGCCCUUAGGUUCGGAAUAACUCCCCGAAAGGGGUGCUAAUACCGGAUAAUGUCUUCGGACCAAAGAUUUAUCGCCUUUGGAUGGGCCCGCGUUGGAUUAGCUAGUUGGUAGGGUAAAAGCCUACCAAGGCGACGAUCCAUAGCUGGUCUGAGAGGAUGAUCAGCCACACUGGGACUGAGACACGGCCCAGACUCCUACGGGAGGCAGCAGUGGGGAAUAUUGGACAAUGGGCGAAAGCCUGAUCCAGCAAUGCCGCGUGAGUGAUGAAGGCCUUAGGGUUGUAAAGCUCUUUUACCCGGGAUGAUAAUGGCAGUACCGGGAGAAUAAGCUCCGGCUAACUCCGUG
rnacentral:rRNA from 1 species